AUGUUGAAGACCCUAAGAGUAGCUGCCCUUAAUGUUAACGUGGCUUUAAAUAUGCUCAACCAUUUGCACUUCACUGUCUUGCUGAUUCUGGAGAGUGUGAGGGAAAGAAGGUCCCUAGAGGAUGGAGAAGAAUUCUUGGCCUUUGGUUUUCUACUGUGCUACGGUGAAGUUUAUUUUGGACCUGGAACGAGGCUCAUUGUUCUAGAUACCCUCUAUUUCGGGACGGGCUCCAGGCUCAUCGUUCUAGAAAUGGAUGAAAUUAGACCCAUAGAGGUGAAUGUGUUUCAGCCAUCUGAGGAAGAGAUUGAGACAAAAGGAAAGGCCACUCUGGUCUGUCUGGCCACAGGCUUCUACCCUGACCUUGUGGAGCUGAGCUGGUGGGUGAAUGGGCAGGAGACCAAAAUUGGGGUCGGCACAGACCCUGAGCCUUCCAAGGAGCAUCCCAAUGAAGAACACUCCAGCUACUCCCUGAGCAGCCGCCUCCGGAUUUCUGCUCCCUUCUGGCGCAAUCCCAAGAAUAGCUUUCGUUGCCAAGUUCGGUUUUAUGGCAUCGCAGAGAAUGAGACCUGGACAAGUCCCCAUAGCAAACCUGUCACCCAGAAUGUCAGUGACCAGAUCUGGGGAAAGUCAGAUUGUGGUAUUACCUCUGAGUCCUAUCAACACAGUAUCCAGUCUGCUACCUUCCUUUAUGAGAUCCUGCUGGGAAAGGCCAUGUUGUAUGGCCUGCUGGUCAGUGCCCUGGUGUGGAUAACCAUGGCCAAGAAAAAAAAUUCCUGAUGUCAGCUGUGGAUGUGAGAACAGAGAGGAGAAAACAGGAUUCAACACCCCAGCUUGGUUCCUACUUUCCCUAUUCUUAUUCUGUGUUCCAAAAGCUAUUAUUCCCUCAUUCUCUAUCCCCAUCUUUAACCAGUUUCUCCACAGAGGAUACUUCAUUUCCAAGAGAAGAAGAGUAUUGGUUUGAUCUUGAAGAAAUAAUAAUAAUAAAAAAAAACCUGCCCUGGCUUAGCAAUUACCAGCUAUGUUUUUAUAUUUUUUCUCAUUGACUCAAUCUGAGGUAUGCCUCUAAAUCAGGACAU